rnacentral:rRNA from 1 species
GAAUAUUGAGUACGCUCUAUAACCCUUUGUGAACAUACCUAUAACUGUUGCUUCGGCGGGUAGGGUCUCCGCGACCCUCCCGGCCUCCCGCCUCCGGGCGGGUCGGCGCCCGCCGGAGGAUAACCAAACUCUGAUUUAACGACGUUUCUUCUGAGUGGUACAAGCAAAUAAUCAAAACUUUUAACAACGGAUCUCUUGGUUCUGGCAUCGAUGAAGAACGCAGCGAAAUGCGAUAAGUAAUGUGAAUUGCAGAAUUCAGUGAAUCAUCGAAUCUUUGAACGCACAUUGCGCCCGCCAGCAUUCUGGCGGGCAUGCCUGUUCGAGCGUCAUUUCAACCCUCAAGCUCUGCUUGGUGUUGGGGCCCUACAGCUGAUGUAGGCCCUCAAAGGUAGUGGCGGACCCUCCCGGAGCCUCCUUUGCGUAGUAACUUUACGUCUCGCACUGGGAUCCGGAGGGACUCUUGCCGUAAAACCCCCCAAUUUUCCAAAGGUUGACCUCGGAUCAGGUAGGAAUA